ensembl:lncRNA
AUGCAGAGCUGGAUUUUCAGCAGCCAUCAUUCUAAUAAUUAUAUAAAUCGAACAAACGAUAGACUGAUUGAGAGAUGUGUAAAACUACAACCAGACUUUUCCAUAGGGGUACAAAAAAGGAGAGCUGAAACGUCAGAGAUCCGAAAGCGGUUACGUGAAGCUGGUUUCAGAUAUGCGUUUAUGUAUCCUGCUACUAUCAAGGGGAUUGAAUCUCCUACAGUGAAGGCGGUGUACCUUUACAAUACGAAUGAUUCAGAGACUUGUCUUAAUUCGAUUGAAGCUCAACGGACCACCAACGCAACUCUGUAAGUCAGAAAUUAUGACUAAGUAGUUCACUGGACUCUUUUGGGAAGGUCUUAUUAUACAGCAAUGGGUCUACUUUCAUUUUUCUUCUUCUUCUUCUUUAAUUUUUAAGAUAUUGUUAUUAUAAUUUUUAUUAUUAUUACUACUACUGUGUUAUCUUUCAUGGUUUAUAUUUAUAUUGAUAUAGAAGAAGUUUAAGAUAUGUUUUGGAGAUUUAAACUUUGUUGUGUUUGCUACGUGAGGAGCUUUGUUUCUGCUCUACUUUUCUUACAACAGCCAAUGUGGUGGUUAAACGUAUGUCUUUCUUAGCUUUUGGUCCACCUUUCUACUUAAUAGCUCAUUUAUUUUAUUUGUGUUGUGUUCUUCGGGACAGAUGUAAGAAGCUUUGUUUUAUUAUUAUUUCUCCUUUUUUUCUUUGUUUGUAAUAUGCACCUAUGUUUGGAUGUUAAUUAUGUAAGGUGUCCAUUUUUAAGGUACUUUGUAAAUGAUUUAAUGUUUUGUCUAUGAAUGAACUGCAGUAUCUCACAGAAGUGAGUAAACCUCUCACAUUUUUGUAAAUAUUUUAUUAUAUAUUUUGUGACAGCACUGAAGAAAUUACAUUUUGCUACAAUGCAAAGUAGUGAGUGUACAGCUUGUAUAACAGUGUAAAUUUGCUGUCCCCUCAAAACAACUCAACGCACAGCCAUUAAUGUCUAAACCGCUGGCCACAAAAGUGAGUACACCCCUAAGUGAAAAUGUCCAAAUUGGGUCAAUAUUUUAUGUGGCCACCAUUAUUUUCCAGCACUGCCUUAACCCUCAG